AGCCGCCGCGGUAAUACCCGCAGCCCGAGUGGUGGUCGUUAUUAUUGGGCCUAAAACGUCCGUAGCCGGCCCGGUAAAUUCUUGGGGAAAUCGGUCAGCUUAACUGGCCGAAGUCCGAGGAGACUGCCGGGCUUGGGACUGGGUGAGGUCAGAGGUACUUCAGGGGUAGGGGUAAAAUCCUGUAAUCCUUGAAGGACCACCAGUGGCGAAGGCGUCUGACUAGAACGGAUCCGACGGUAAGGGACGAAGCCCUGGGGCACAAACGGGAUUAGAUACCCCGGUAGUCCAGGGUGUAAACGCUGUGGGCUUGGUGUUGGGAGUCCCACGAGGGCGCCCAGUGCCGUAGAGAAGUUGUUAAGCCUACUGCCUGGGGAGUACGCUCGCAAGAGUGAAACUUAGAGGAAUUGGCGGGGGAGCACCGCAACGGGUGGAGCGUGCGGUUUAAUUGGAUUCAACGCCGGAAAACUCACCGGGAGCGACGGUUAUAUGAAGACCAGGUUGAAGACCUUGUCUGAUUUUCCGAGAGGUGGUGCAUGGCCGUCGUCAGUUCGUACCGUAAGGCGUUCUCUCAAGUGAGAUAACGAACAAGACCCCUGCCUUUAAUUGCCAGUUUACCCUCCGGGGUAAGCGCACAUUAAAGGGACCGCUACUGCUAAAGUAGAGGAAGGUGGGGGCAACGAUAGGUCCGUAUGCCCCGAAUCUCCCGGGCGACACGCGCGCUACAAAGGACGGGACAAUGGGUCCCGACACCGAAAGGUGAAGGUAAUCCCGAAACCCGUUCAUAGUUCGGAUUGAGGGCUGCAACCCGCCCUCAUGAAGCUGGAAUCCGUAGUAAUCGCGGAUCAACAUUCCGCGGUGAAUAUGCCCCUGCUCCU
rnacentral:rRNA from 1 species